UGAGGAAUAUUGGUCAAUGGGCGAGAGCCUGAACCAGCCAAGUAGCGUGCAGGAUGACGGCCCUAUGGGUUGUAAACUGCUUUUAUAUGGGAAUAAAGUGAGGGACGUGUCCCUUAUUGCAUGUACCAUACGAAUAAGGACCGGCUAAUUCCGUGCCAGCAGCCGCGGUAAUACGGAAGGUCCAGGCGUUAUCCGGUUUUAUUGGGUUUAAAGGGAGCGUAGGCUGUUUGUUAAGCGUGUUGUGAAAUGUAAGAGCUCAACUUUUAGAUUGCAGCGCGAACUGGCAGACUUGAGUGCGCACAACGUAGGCGGAAUUCAUGGUGUAGCGGUGAAAUGCUUAGAUAUCAUGACGAACUCCGAUUGCGAAGGCAGCUUACGGGAGCGCAACUGACGCUAAAGCUCGAAGGUGCGGGUAUCGAACAGG
rnacentral:rRNA from 1 species